rnacentral:rRNA from 1 species
GAUGAACGCUAGCGGGAGGCCUAACACAUGCAAGCCGAGCGGGAUUUGUUGGUUAGUUUGCUAACUAACAAUGAGAGCGGCGUACGGGUGCGUAGCACGUGUGCAACCUGCCUUUAUCUGGGGGAUAGCCUUUCGAAAGGAAGAUUAAUACCCCAUAACAUAUUGAUUGGCAUCAGUUAAUAUUGAAAGCUCCGGCGGAUAGAGAUGGGCACGCGUAAGAUUAGCUAGUUGGUGAGGUAACGGCUCACCAAGGCUGCGAUCUUUAGGGGGCCUGAGAGGGUGAUCCCCCACACUGGUACUGAGACACGGACCAGACUCCUACGGGAGGCAGCAGUGAGGAAUAUUGGACAAUGGGUGAGAGCCUGAUCCAGCCAUCCCGCGUGAAGGACUAAGGACCUAUGGUUUGUAAACUUCUUUUAUACAGGGAUAAACCUACUCUCGUGAGGGUAGCUGAAGGUACUGUAUGAAUAAGCACCGGCUAACUCCGUG